GACGGCACAGCUUUGUUAAAACCUAUGUUAAACAUGUCAAGAAGACAUACGCUGAAGAACUGAGCAGGUUUCUAGGUACUUAUCACAAAUUCAAACCAACUUUCACCAAUUGUCUAAAAUCUCUCAAGACAUUGGAACGUGGGAGGCACCGUGCUGAAAGUUUAAUAUGUACCAUCUUAAUUUGUUCUCACAGC